rnacentral:ncRNA from 3 species
ACAAUGAUACUUCUGCCCAGUCCCAGCCGCAAGCAAGGAGGGCAGCCGGGAGAGAUCCUCGCGGGGGUGAGACGCCCAUGA